rnacentral:rRNA from 1 species
GACGAACGCUGGCGGCGUGCUUAACACAUGCAAGUCGAACGGAAAGGCCCUGCUUUUGUGGGGUGCUCGAGUGGCGAACGGGUGAGUAACACGUGAGUAACCUGUCCUUGACUUUGGGAUAACUUCAGGAAACUGGGGCUAAUACCGGAUAGGAGCUCCUGCUGCAUGGUGGGGGUUGGAAAGUUUCGGCGGUUGGGGAUGGACUCGCGGCUUAUCAGCUUGUUGGUGGGGUAGUGGCUUACCAAGGCUUUGACGGGUAGCCGGCCUGAGAGGGUGACCGGCCACAUUGGGACUGAGAUACGGCCCAGACUCCUACGGUAGGCAGCAGUGGGGAAUAUUGCACAGUGAGCGGAAGCCUGAUGCAGCAACGCCGCGUGCGGGAUGACGGCCUUCGGGUUGUAAACCGCUUUCGCCUGUGACGAAGCGUGAGUGACGGUAAUGGGUAAAGAAGCACCGGCUAACUACGUG